rnacentral:rRNA from 1 species
GUGCCAGCCGCCGCGGUAAUACGUAGGGGGCGAGCGAUACUCGGAAUUACUGGGCGUAAAGGGUGUGUAGGUGGCUGAAUAAGUCAAAGAUGAAAUCCCGAGGCUCAACUUCGGAAUUGUCUUUGAUACUGUUCAGCUUGAGGUUAGUUGAGGAGAGCGGAAUUCCCGGUGGAGCGGUGAAAUGCGUAGAUAUCGGGAGGAACACCUGAGGCGUAGGCGGUUCUGUACACUAAUCCUGACACUGAGACACGAAAGCUAGGGGAGCAAACGGGAUUAGAUACCCCGGUAGUCCUAGCCGUAAACGAUGGACGCUAGAUGUUCCUGCGUUUAUGCCGGAGUGUCGAAGCUAACGCGUUAAGCGUCCCGCCUGGGGAGUACGGUCGCAAGAUUGAAACUUAAAGGAAUUGACGGGG